rnacentral:lncRNA from 1 species
CAGCCAGAAGAGCAGAUCUGAUUUGAGGGCAGCUGGGAAGCCGUCCAAUCUGGAGAGCCUCUACAAUUAGCAAAACAAGGUCUGGAAUUCCUGGACUUCACUCCUUGUUAGCGAGAAAGCGAAACACGUGAUGUUCUGCUUUGCUCUCAGUGUCAAAACCUUGUGCUCAUGGGCCCUGGCGGCUACACAGAAAGCCCUGAGGACUGAAACCCUGCAUGGGUACAUUUUGAUGGGGCAGGAAGAAAAGUUCUGGAGUGUGGAGAGCAGAGGUCCAGAGCAUUCACUGAUUUAGCCACAGAAGAAACAGAUGCGGAAACCGGGGCACAGCAGGCGAAGUGAAACUUCCCAUGUUCCAGCAAAGCCCAGUCCAUAACGUGAGGCUUUGUGAGGUUUGUGUGUGCGACCUUCACCCCUUCACCUGGACCCUCUCUUUGUCCUCCUUUCGCACCCAGUGAUGUGUGGCCUGGAUCACUUCCCUGCCCUCAAGUCUUGCCCUGGCCUGACGUUCAGCGGACCCUCCGUGCAUUAAGGAUGGAGGAUGGUUCCUUGUGCUUCCUCUACCAGGUGCACUUGUAUCUGCUCGGAAUUCUGGAAGAGCAAAGACCCACUGGCCCCACUAAUCCAUCUAUUGAUCCUGCCCCGGUCAGCAGGCUGGGUCUAGCCUCCACACUGCCGCUGCUCAGGGUCUGUGGAGGAAGUCGCUGCAGCCAUUCAGCCAGAUGAAUCGCAAUUAAUAAAUGUGGAACGAAUGAGAGACGAAGACGAUGAGCACCAGAGGACUGCAGGGAGCACGGCUGAGGCAACAUCACCAGAGGAUAGUAAAAUUAGCAGACAGAGAUCUAAGCACAAACAGUGUCUCUGUGUAGCCUUAAAGCAUCUCUUUGAAUAUUUAAUGGUUACAAAGGAAAAACAGUGAGUUGAUGGGGGAGAACCCUGGCAGGCACCACCCUAACCAAGAGAUCAAAGUUGGCAUGACCAGGCACAAGGCACACUAACAGCCCACACCCACUGAUCUGGCCCACCGAAAAUGCACAUCACUUCUGUGGCAUUGCCACGGAAUUUCCAAAAAGGCAUUACCUCAGUCCAAUGCAGAGAAGGCGUCAGGCAGACCUAGGCGGAGAGACUGUCCAAGAGCGACAGACCCAUCCUCUUAAAAAGCCGGCCCUGACACAGAAAGGAGACAGAGAAAGGUGACAGCCAAAUGCACGUGGGAGCUGGGAACAGAGGAGGGCACUGGGAGGGGCCUGCCUGCCGUCCAGCUCUCGAGACCACGGCGAGAUUCAGAAGGGAAUUGGGCCAUUCCUUCUCCAAAGCAGAACGUACUGCAGCUGUGAGAGUUCUAGGAGAAAAUUCAGGUGGAUGCUUCUGUAAUCUUGGAAUGGAGGCUAAGCCUGGCAACAAUGCUAGAAAACAGUGCUGAAGUUUGACAGAUUUAGCCACAUACAAUGGCAAAUGACAAACUGUAAAAGGAAUUCUUGUGAGACAGAGGAAGGAAGGAAGGAAGGAAGGAAGGAAGGAAGGAAGGAAGGUAGGAAGGAAGAAAGGAAGGAAGGAAGGGGCACCCUAAUAGGGCAAACAGUAGUAUAGGUCAGAAAUAACUUUGAAAGAACCACAGGGUGCUGGUGGGCCAAUCAGGGACAGACAGACCCCCUCUUCCAGGGGCUGGGCUGGGCUGGGGUGGGGUCCACAGGUGCAGCCCUGGAGCUGGGCUUGCCUGUCUGCAUCCAAGCAUCCCUGUGCUUUCCCUGUGAGCUGGCAGUCCCCACUAUGAGAUUCUAGCCUGGGAAUGUGCUAUAGGGAAGCUUACAGCAGCAGAUCAUAGAAAAGCAAAAUAGAAAUGUGAAAGGAAAAUAAAAACUUGGGACCCCUACUCCCUCCGCCAAAAGAAAAAAAAAAUGCUGAAAGUGGAGUCAUGCAAGAAGCUGCCUUUCCCUUUGUUCCUAAGCAGAUAGAGACAGAUAAAAGGUUAAAGAUCUCCACUCUGCAUUCACCUUAUCUUGUGUGAAGAGUCGAGUUACUGAGCAUGGGACGAACACAUAACUGACCAUUCCCCUACAUGCUCCUUUUCUUUUGCAACAUUUGGAUUCAGUAAUGUGACCAUACCCUCCCUCUGUCCCCUCCAGCUGGCUUUUUCCUUUAAAUACUGAAGCCCUCGAAAUCAUCUUUGGAGAAAGGCACAGACCUGUCUCCCAAGACGUGUCCUUAAUCUUGGCAAAGUAAACUUCUAAGUUGAUCGAGGCUUGUCUCAGAUAUUUUCAGGUUUACAGAAAGAAAUUCAAUUUCAGUCACAAACGGAAUGAUAAAAUAAGUUGUUACGCAUCCAUAGAAAGAAGAUAUUAACAUGAUGAACUUUCAAAUCAGCUUCUCAAGUGUCAACAUCCUGUUGCGAUUUUCAUUGAUAUUGAACUGAAUUUAUAGAUUUUGUAAGCAGAAAAAAAUUAUUUUAAUUUUUUGAGAAAAAAAGUUUUAAAUGGUUUGUUUUCAGACUGUGUCAAGAUAUCCCUACCUCCGAAGUUGUCAGGUUUGCGGACCUUGGGGUGAAGCGUGGGGCUGCUGGAGGCGUCCAGCCCUGACUGUGUGUCCAGGACAAUGAGCCCCGAAGUGAGCGGGCCGCGUCCUGUUGGCGCAGCCAACUUCACGCCCUCUGUCCAGGGAGGACUAAGGGACAAGCUGCAGCAGGCGCAGAGGACGCUGUUGGUGUCCGGGAGGCCGCUGGUACAGGGCGUUGGGCGUGGCUCCUUUCCAAGUGCCUUGCACUUUCCAGGCUGGGCUGCAGAAGCAGGCUCGGGGGCGACUCGCGUGGGGACUGAAGCAGCCAGCCUUGGCACCUGCCCACAGCAAAUAACUGCCUUGACUUGAUCUGGUUUUUUUGAAGAAAGGUUUAUUCAUACCCAUUAUGUGCGCAUGUGUAAAUUCAAACCCACGGCUUGCCGGAGCCUGGGCUUUCUCGAACAUCAGUUGCUCCCAUGCUACCAUUUUGCAGUUUGCCCGUCUCCAGUAGAUGAUUUCUGAAUAUUUUAAUCAACUCAUUAUUAACCAUUCACACGUCUACCUUAGCCUCAUUUUAAGCAAUUGCACCUGUGGGUUUCACAGGCCUGCUGUAUUUUUAGUACAUAUUAAAUAAAGCAUGUCUGUUGGGGCGUGCUGUGCUUGCCCACCUG